rnacentral:snRNA from 1 species
GGGGGCAAGGGUGAGGGGGCAGCCAUGUCUGUCACCCAUUGGUCCUCGGGGUGGACUCCGCUGAUCUGGCAGGCUAAGCGGGUGUCCCUCCUUCCCUCACCACUCCAUGUGCGUCCCUCCACUCAGUCCAAGAGGAUGACCCCCCAAAGCGGAAGACGACCCUGUGGUCAAGGGUGGGUGAGUGGCUGGGCUACCCUGCUAGUCCUGCCCUGAGUGGUGGGAUGUAGGAGAGUGGCGUGGCCUGUUGUGCCACAAU